GACGAACGCUGGCGGCGUGCUUAACACAUGCAAGUCGAACGGAAAGGCCCUGCUUGCCGGGUACUCGAGUGGCGAACGGGUGAGUAACACGUGGGUGAUCUGCCCUGCACUUCGGGAUAAGCCUGGGAAACUGGGUCUAAUACCGGAUAGGAGCCAUUUUUAGUGUGAUGGUUGGAAAGGUUUUUCGGUGUAGGAUGAGCUCGCGGCCUAUCAGCUUGUUGGUGGGGUAAUGGCCUACCAAGGCGGCGACGGGUAGCCGGCCUGAGAGGGUGGACGGCCACAUUGGGACUGAGAUACGGCCCAGACUCCUACGGGAGGCAGCAGUGGGGAAUAUUGCACAAUGGGCGCAAGCCUGAUGCAGCGACGCCGCGUGGGGGAUGACGGCCUUCGGGUUGUAAACUCCUUUCGCUAGGGACGAAGCUUUUUGUGACGGUACCUAGAUAAGAAGCACCGGCUAACUACGUG
rnacentral:rRNA from 1 species